rnacentral:rRNA from 1 species
CAACAGAGGGAUGCAAAACCGUGAGGUGGAGCGAACCCCUAAAAGCCGUCCCAGUUCAGAUCGCAGUCUGCAACCCGACUGCGUGAAGUCGGAAUCGCUAGUAAUCGCGGAUCAGCAUGCCGCGGUGAAUACGUUCCCGGGCCUUGUACACACCGCCCGUCACACCAUGAGAGUUGGGAACACCCGAAGUCCGUAGCCUAACCGCAAGGGGGGCGCGGCCGAAGGUGGGUUCAAUAAUUGGGGUGAAGUCGUAACAAGGUAUC